AGAGCCCGCUGCGCCGGCAGCAAGGCCAGAAGGUGCACGAAGAAGGUAAAGAAAUGCCUGGUGAGGGGACAGCAUGUAUGUUUGUGUGGAGGGUGAUGAAUAAAGAAAAGUAAACCAUGAGGACCCUCAGAAAUUUAAAAUAAUGGUUCCAACAUGGAGCUCAACAGACCAGGUGAAGAAUAGAUCAAUGCACCUGAAAAUGAAUUAUGGCCCCAAUAAUCAAGCUGCUCAAAAGGCAUCUCAUGUGAAUUUCCUGUGUGAAGGAUUGACAGAACAGAGGAGAGAGAGAAAAUUAAUAGUGAAAUAAAACUACCCAGAGAUAAAUGAA